UACGUAGGUGGCAAGCGUUGUCCGGAUUUACUGGGCGUAAAGAGCGCGCAGGCGGUCGAUCAAGUCGCGUGUGAAAGCCCCCGGCUCAACUGGGGAGGGUCACGCGAUACUGAUCGACUCGAAGGCAGGAGAGGGUAGUGGAAUUCCCGGUGUAGUGGUGAAAUGCGUAGAUAUCGGGAGGAACACCAGUGGCGAAGGCGACUACCUGGCCUGUUUCUUGACGCUGAGGCGCGAAAGCCAGGGGAGCGAACGGG
rnacentral:rRNA from 1 species